rnacentral:rRNA from 1 species
AACGUGCCCAAGAGUGGGGGAUAACGUAGCGAAAGUUACGCUAAUACCGCAUACGAUCUAUGGAUGAAAGCAGGGGACCGCAAGGCCUUGUGCUCCUGGAGCGGCCGAUAUCUGAUUAGCUAGUUGGUGAGGUAAAGGCUCACCAAGGCGACGAUCAGUAGCUGGUCUGAGAGGACGACCAGCCACACUGGAACUGAGACACGGUCCAGACUCCUACGGGAGGCAGCAGUGGGGAAUUUUGGACAAUGGGGGCAACCCUGAUCCAGCAAUGCCGCGUGAGUGAAGAAGGCCUUCGGGUUGUAAAGCUCUUUUGUCAGGGAAGAAAAGGGUACGGCUAAUAUCCGUACCUCAUGACGGUACCUGAAGAAUAAGCACCGGCUAACUACGUGCCAGCAGCCGCGGUAAUACGUAGGGUGCAAGCGUUAAUCGGAAUUACUGGGCGUAAAGCGUGCGCAGGCGGUUUUGUAAGUCUGACGUGAAAUCCCCGGGCUUAACCUGGGAAUGGCGUUGGAGACUGCAAGGCUGGAAUCUGGCAGAGGGGGGUAGAAUUCCACGUGUAGCAGUGAAAUGCGUAGAGAUGUGGAGGAACACCGAUGGCGAAGGCAGCCCCCUGGGCUAAGAUUGACGCUCAUGCACGAAAGCGUGGGGAGCAAACAGGAUUAGAUACCCUGGUAGUCCACGCCCUAAACGAUGUCUACUAGUUGUUGGGUCUUAAUUGACUUAGUAACGCAGCUAACGCGUGAAGUAGACCGCCUGGGGAGUACGGUCGCAAGAUUAAAACUCAAAGGAAUUGACGGGGACCCGCACAAGCGGUGGAUGAUGUGGAUUAAUUCGAUGCAACGCGAAAAACCUUACCUACCCUUGACAUGUCAGGAACCUCCGAGAGAUUGGAGGGUGCCCGAAAGGGAGCCUGAACACAGGUGCUGCAUGGCUGUCGUCAGCUCGUGUCGUGAGAUGUUGGGUUAAGUCCCGCAACGAGCGCAACCCUUGUCAUUAGUUGCUACGAAAGGGCACUCUAAUGAGACUGCCGGUGACAAACCGGAGGAAGGUGGGGAUGACGUCAAGUCCUCAUGGCCCUUAUGGGUAGGGCUUCACACGUCAUACAAUGGUACAUACAGAGGGCCGCCAACCCGCGAGGGGGAGCUAAUCCCAGAAAGUGUAUCGUAGUCCGGAUUGUAGUCUGCAACUC